rnacentral:tRNA from 2 species
GACCUCGUGGUGCAAUGGUAGCGCGUCUGACUCCAGAUCAGAAGGUUGCGUGUUCGAAUCACGUCGGGGUCA